AACGUAGGACACAAGCGUUAUCCGGAGUUACUGGGCGUAAAGGGCUUGUAGGCGGUUUGUUAAGUCUAGUGUGAAAUCUCCCGGCUCAACCGGGAGGGGUCAUCGGAUACUGGCAGACUAGAGACGGGUAGAGGAAAGCAGAAUUCCCGGUGUAGCGGUGAAAUGCGUAGAUAUCGGGAGGAAUACCAGUGGCGAAGGCGGCUUUCUGGGCCUGUUCUGACGCUGAGGAGCGAAAGCGUGGGGAGCAAACCGA
rnacentral:rRNA from 1 species